GGAAUUUUCCGCAAUGGGCGAAAGCCUGACGGAGCAAUACCGCGUGAGGGAAGACGGCCUAUGGGUUGUAAACCUCUUUUUUCAGGGAGGAAUCACUGACGUGUACCUGAAGAAUAAGCAUCGGCUAACUCCGUGCCAGCAGCCGCGGUAAUACGGGAGUGGCAAGCGUUAUCCGGAAUUAUUGGGCGUAAAGCGUCCGCAGGCGGUCUGUCAAGUCUGCUGUUAAAGCGUGGAGCUUAACUCCAUUUCGGCAGUGGAAACUGACAGACUAGAGUGUGGUAGAGGCAGAGGGAAUUCCCGGUGUAGCGGUGAAAUGCGUAGAUAUCGGGAAGAACACCAGUGGCGAAGGCGCUCUGCUGGGCCAUAACUGACGCUCAUGGACGAAAGCCAGGGGAGCGAAAGGGAUUAGAUACCCCUGUAGUC
rnacentral:rRNA from 1 species